UACGUAGGGUGCAGGCGUUGUCCGGAAUUAUUGGGCGUAAAGAGCUCGUAGGCGGUCUGUCGCGUCGGCUGUGAAAACCCGGAGCUCAACUCCGGGCCUGCAGUCGAUACGGGCAGACUGGAGUUCGGCAGGGGAGACUGGAAUUCCUGGUGUAGCGGUGAAAUGCGCAGAUAUCAGGAGGAACACCGGUGGCGAAGGCGGGUCUCUGGGCCGUUACUGACGCUGAGGAGCGAAAGCGUGGGGAGCGAACAGG
rnacentral:rRNA from 1 species